rnacentral:rRNA from 1 species
UACAGAGGGGGCAAGCGUUAUUCGGAAUUAUUGGGCGUAAAGGGCGCGUAGGCGGCCAGGCAAGUGGAAGGUGAAAUCCCUCGGCUUAACCGAGGAACUGCCCUCCAAACUGCUUGGCUUGAGACCGGGAGAGGUGAGUGGAAUUCCCAGUGUAGCGGUGAAAUGCGCAGAUAUCAGGAGGAACACCAGCGGCGAAGGCGGUGCUCUGGGCCGGAACUGACACUGAGGAGCGAAAGCGUGGGUAGCAAACAGG